CCUACGGGAGGCAGCAGUAGGGAAUCUUCCACAAUGGGCGAAAGCCUGAUGGAGCAACGCCGCGUGGGUGAAGAAGGUCUUCGGAUCGUAAAACCCUGUUGUUAGAGGAGAAAGUGCGUGAGCGUAACUGUUCACGUUUCGACGGUAUCUAACCAGAAAGCCACGGCUAACUACGUGCCAGCAGCCGCGGUAAUACGUAGGUGGCAAGCGUUAUCCGGAUUUAUUGGGCGUAACGGGAACGCAGGCGGGCUUUUAAGUCUGAUGUGAAAGCUUUCGGCUUAACCGGAGUAGUGCAUUGGAAACUGGGAGACUUGAGUGCAGAAGAGGAGAGUGGAACUCGAGGUGUAGCGGUGAAAUGCGUAGAUAUAUGGAAGAACACCAGUGGCGAAAGCGGCUCUCUGGUCUGUAACUGACGCUGAGGUUCGAAAGCGUGGGUAGCAAACAGGAUUAGAUACCCCUGUAGUC
rnacentral:rRNA from 1 species